UUAACACAUGCAAGUCGAGCGGUAGCACAGGGGAGCUUGCUCCCCGGGUGACGAGCGGCGGACGGGUGAGUAAUGUCUGGGAAACUGCCUGAUGGAGGGGGAUAACUACUGGAAACGGUAGCUAAUACCGCAUAACGUCGCAAGACCAAAGAGGGGGACCUUCGGGCCUCUUGCCGUCAGAUGUGCCCAGAUGGGAUUAGCUAGUAGGUGGGGUAAUGGCUCACCUAGGCGACGAUCCCUAGCUGGUCUGAGAGGAUGACCAGCCACACUGGAACUGAGACACGGUCCAGACUCCUACGGGAGGCAGCAGUGGGGAAUAUUGCACAAUGGGCGCAAGCCUGAUGCAGCCAUGCCGCGUGUGUGAAGAAGGCCUUCGGGUUGUAAAGCACUUUCAGCGAGGAGGAAGGUGGUGAGCUUAAUACGCUCAUCAAUUGACGUUACUCGCAGAAGAAGCACCGGCUAACUCCGUGCCAGCAGCCGCGGUAAUACGGAGGGUGCAAGCGUUAAUCGGAAUUACUGGGCGUAAAGCGCACGCAGGCGGUUUGUUAAGUCAGAUGUGAAAUCCCCGGGCUCAACCUGGGAACUGCAUUUGAAACUGGCAAGCUAGAGUCUCGUAGAGGGGGGUAGAAUUCCAGGUGUAGCGGUGAAAUGCGUAGAGAUCUGGAGGAAUACCGGUGGCGAAGGCGGCCCCCUGGACGAAGACUGACGCUCAG
rnacentral:rRNA from 1 species